GAUGAACGCUGGCGGCGUGCCUAAUACAUGCAAGUCGAGCGAACGGACGAGAAGCUUGCUUCUCUGAUGUUAGCGGCGGACGGGUGAGUAACACGUGGAUAACCUACCUAUAAGACUGGGAUAACUUCGGGAAACCGGAGCUAAUACCGGAUAAUAUUUUGAACCGCAUGGUUCAAAAGUGAAAGACGGUCUUGCUGUCACUUAUAGAUGGAUCCGCGCUGCAUUAGCUAGUUGGUAAGGUAACGGCUUACCAAGGCAACGAUGCAUAGCCGACCUGAGAGGGUGAUCGGCCACACUGGAACUGAGACACGGUCCAGACUCCUACGGGAGGCAGCAGUAGGGAAUCUUCCGCAAUGGGCGAAAACCUGACGGAGCAACGCCGCGUGAGUGAUGAAGGUCUUCGGAUCGUAAAACUCUGUUAUUAGGGAAGAACAUAUGUGUAAGUAACUGUGCACAUCUUGACGGUACCUAAUCAGAAAGCCACGGCUAACUACGUGCCAGCAGCCGCGGGUAUACGUAGGUGGCAAGCGUUAUCCGGAAUUAUUGGGCGUAAAGCGCGCGUAGGCGGUUUUUUAGUCUGAUGUGAAAGCCCACGGCUCAACCGUGGAGGGUCAUUGGAAACUGGAAAACUUGAGUGCAGAAGAGGAAAGUGGAACUCCAUGUGUAGCGGUGAAAUGCGCAGAGAUAUGGAGGAACACCAGUGGCGAAGGCGACUUUCUGGUCUGUAACUGACGCUGAUGUGCGAAAGCGUGGGGAUCAAACAGGAUUAGAUACCCUGGUAGUCCACGCCGUAAACGAUGAGUGCUAAGUGUUAGGGGGUUUCCGCCCCUUAGUGCUGCAGCUAACGCAUUAAGCACUCCGCCUGGGGAGUACGACCGCAAGGUUGAAACUCAAAGGAAUUGACGGGGACCCGCACAAGCGGUGGAGCAUGUGGUUUAAUUCGAAGCAACGCGAAGAACCUUACCAAAUCUUGACAUCCUUUGACAACUCUAGAGAUAGAGCCUUCCCCUUCGGGGGACAAAGUGACAGGUGGUGCAUGGUUGUCGUCAGCUCGUGUCGUGAGAUGUUGGGUUAAGUCCCGCAACGAGCGCAACCCUCAAGCUUAGUUGCCAUCAUUAAGUUGGGCACUCUAAGUUGACUGCCGGUGACAAACCGGAGGAAGGUGGGGAUGACGUCAAAUCAUCAUGCCCCUUAUGAUUUGGGCUACACACGUGCUACAAUGGACAAUACAAAGGGCAGCGAAACCGCGAGGUCAAGCAAAUCCCAUAAAGUUGUUCUCAGUUCGGAUUGUAGUCUGCAACUCGACUACAUGAAGCUGGAAUCGCUAGUAAUCGUAGAUCAGCAUGCUACGGUGAAUACGUUCCCGGGUCU
rnacentral:rRNA from 1 species